rnacentral:lncRNA from 1 species
UUUGGACCCAGGAGUCUGUGAUUCUGGGCAUCCGCAAUUCCUGAAAGAACCCUGAAAGCGCUGAGAAGUUGAAAAGGACUUCUGGAAGACAAUCUCUGCUGGAACCCAGCAUACAAAGGACCAGAGCUGGGGCUUCCCCCUCUGCUGGUUCUUUCUUGUCCAUGGUCCUUGGGUGUUUGGUCAGGAAGAGCAGCCAUGUAUGAAGGGAAGGAGGCCAGAAGAGGGGAGGGGACAGGAGGGGAGCAAAGCCCGGCUUUGCAGUUAGCAGCUGUGUGGCCUGGGAAAUUCGUUACUCUCUCGGUCCUAAUUUCCUCAUCUGUAAAAUGGGUCUAGAAGUUGUCUUACUGGGUCAGAUAUACUGUGUCUAGAGAGGGUGCCAGGAAAUGGAAGCUAAUAUCAUAAGGGAACAAAGAAAACUGGCCACCCUGACAAAUCCUGCAUAGGUUUUGUUAUAGGAUUCCACCUACUGAACCAACACUCCAAACUGGGGACACAGCCUGGCCCCCUGGCCAUGGAAAAUUGGGGUAAAGGGAGUAGCUUUUCUUUGGAAUGAUGGGCUCAUCCAAAGCCCAUAUUCACCAUAUUGUUUCAUUUCACUGUACACUAAGCAAAGUGUCUAUGUGCGGGAGCAGUAGGAAGACAGACUCAAUAAACCUAUAAUCAAGUCCCUUGGCAGUCAGUCAUGUCUGACCUCCAGGGCUUGUGAAAAACAGUUAGUGUUUGCUUAACAUUAAAUGCAUUCCAGGUAUUGCGCUAAAUGAUAUAUGAAC